rnacentral:rRNA from 1 species
GGGGAAUCUUCCGCAAUGGACGAAAGUCUGACGGAGCAACGCCGCGUGAGUGAUGACGGCCUUCGGGUUGUAAAGCUCUGUUAAUCGGGACGAAGGGCCUUCUUGCGAAUAGUUAGAAGGAUUGACGGUACCGGAAUAGAAAGCCACGGCUAACUACGUGCCAGCAGCCGCGGUAAUACGUAGGUGGCAAGCGUUGUCCGGAAUUAUUGGGCGUAAAGGGCGCGCAGGCGGCUUCUUAAGUCUGUCUUAAAAGUGCGGGGCUUAACCCCGUGAUGGGAUGGAAACUGGGAAGCUCAGAGUAUCGGAGAGGAAAGCGGAAUUCCUAGUGUAGCGGUGAAAUGCGUAGAUAUUAGGAGGAACACCAGUGGCGAAAGCGGCUUUCUGGACGAAAACUGACGCUGAGGCGCGAAAGCCAGGGGAGCGAACGGGAUUAGAUACCCCGGUAGUCCUGGCCGUAAACGAUGGGUACUAGGUGUAGGAGGUAUCGACCCCUUCUGUGCCGGAGUUAACGCAAUAAGUACCCCGCCUGGGGAGUACGGCCGCAAGGCUG